AAAAUUAAGAAACGAAAACCAAAUGGUUCACGAUGGAGUUCUGGAAUCUAUUCUCUUUAACAGAUAACUGGAAGAAUUCUUCCACUUGCGGCAGAGUAAGUCCCUUCCUUCUGCAGAAAACAACUAUAAAACUUAAAUAGGAAUAUAGUGCUGAGACAUUUAUCCCAAGACAAAAACCCAGAAGACUCAGACAAGGAAGCAGAAAGCUUGCAUGUCACUUCCUACAGGAGACACAAAGAUCACUAGAAAGCCAGCACAGCCCAUGUCUGAGCAAAGUAACGAGAUACGACAGAAGAACUGGGUGUGAAGCCCACCCAAGUCGUGCUGGGGACCAGGAAACUGCAGAAGCACGUGAGUGCUCACCAUGAAGGUGGAACCAGGGAGGUGUGUGGAGGUGCGUGUGGAAAUCUUAAGGGAGAGUAAAUUUCCUGUAAGCAAGUGAAACAAAUUAAGAUUUAGA